rnacentral:tRNA from 1 species
GAGGGUAUAGCUAUAGUGGUAGAGCACGUGCUUAGCAUGCACAAGGUCCUGGGUUCAAUCCCUAGCGCCUUCA